UAGCUCAUUGUUUUCUGGGUAAAAAAAGAAGAAAACAGUAAGUUUUUUUUGUUUAAUUUUUGUUGUCUAGCUGUUGUCUAGCUGUUGUCUAGCUGUUGUUUAGCUGUAAAUGUGAAAUUAGCUUCUUAUCCGAUAUAUUGUAUGAAAAGAUGUCAUAAAUAUCAAUAUUUAAUUUUUUUUGCAAUAAAAUGAGAUCAAAAAAACUGAAUGAGCCCAGUCAAGAAACUGGUACGAGUUGUUCUGGACCUGCAGAGACAUAUUCUCUGAUCACUUUUGUACCAGCCACAUCUCAGCCCAUAGGCCUCGAACACCCAGAGUCACAUCAGGACAGCACAGCAGUUCUCACAGACACUCGCUCUUUCAUUACAUCUGUAAAUCCAAUUCACCAGCCCUCAGAUGGUUUGGUCAAUAAAAAACGGAAAUGGAGAAACACAGAGGAAAAUGUGAAUGUUAAUCAUCUAUACUCAACAAUCCCUGACAAACCAGUUCACUCCAACACAGGAGAUCAAGUCUACAGUUUGGUGAAGAUGCACUGA
ensembl:lncRNA